rnacentral:rRNA from 1 species
AUAGACCAUNAGAUCUGGAAUGACUCAUGGNUUCAAAGUUCCGGCGCUUUAGGAUCGGUCUGCGGCCUAUCAGGUAGUAGUGGGUGUAAUGUACCCCCUAGCCUAUUACGGGUAUGGGCCUUGAGAGAGGGAGCCCAGAGUUGGAUUCUGAGACACGAAUCCAGGCCCUACGGGGCGCAGCAGUCGCGAAAACUUCACAAUGGGCGAAAGCCCGAUGAGGGAAUUCCUAGUGCUGGCACUUUUGUGUUAGCUUUUCUUUAGCGUAGAUAACUAGAGGAAUAAGGGCUGGGUAAGACGGGUGCCAGCCGCCGCGGUAAUACCCGCAGCCCGAGUGGUGGUCGAUUUUAUUGAGUCUAAAACGUUCGUAGCCGGUCUGAUAGAUCCUUGGGUAAAUCGGGGGGCUUAACCUUCCGAAUUCCGAGGAGACCGUCAGGCUUGGGAUCGGGAGAGGUAAGAGGUACUUCAGGGGUAGGGGUAAAAUCCUGUAAUCCUUGGAGGACCACCGGUGGCGAAGGCGUCUUACUAGAACGAAUCCGACGGUGAGGGACGAAGCCCUAGGUCGCAAACGGGAUUAGAUACCCCGGUAGUCUAGGGUGUAAACGCUGCAGACUUGGUGUUGGAGGCCCUUCGGGGGCAUUCAGUGCCGGAGAGAAGUUGUUAAGUCUGCUACUUGGGGAGUACGUCCGCAAGGAUGAAACUUAAAGGAAUUGGCGGGGGAGCACCGCAACGGGAGGAGCGUGCGGUUUAAUUGGAUUCAACACCGGAAAACUCACCAAGGGAGACCAUCACAUGAAAGCCAGGCUAAUGACUUU